GAUCCUGGCUCAGAACGAACGCUGGCGGCAUGCCUAACACAUGCAAGUCGAACGAGACCUUCGGGUCUAGUGGCGCACGGGUGCGUAACGCGUGGGAAUCUGCCCUGGGGUGCGGAAUAACUCGGAGAAAUCCGUGCUAAUACCGCAUAAUGUCUUCGGACCAAAGAUUUAUCGCCCUGGGAUGAGCCCGCGUAGGAUUAGCUAGUUGGUGGGGUAAAGGCCUACCAAGGCGACGAUCCUUAGCUGGUCUGAGAGGAUGAUCAGCCACACUGAGACUGAGACACGGCCCAGACUCCUACGGGAGGCAGCAGUGGGGAAUAUUGGACAAUGGGCGAAAGCCUGAUCCAGCAAUGCCGCGUGAGUGAUGAAGGCCCUAGGGUUGUAAAGCUCUUUUACCUGGGAUGAUAAUGACAGUACCGGGAGAAUAAGCUCCGGCUAACUCCGUG
rnacentral:rRNA from 1 species